GCCCGUUUAGCAUAGUCGUUAUUGCGCGGCACUUGUACCCCUUGUGGAAUGCCGAGGUCGCUAGUUCAAAUCUGGCAACGGGCA